rnacentral:rRNA from 1 species
CUAAUACAUGCAAGUCGAGCGGACCGACGGGAGCUUGCUCCCUUAGGUCAGCGGCGGACGGGUGAGUAACACGUGGGUAACCUGCCUGUAAGACUGGGAUAACUCCGGGAAACCGGGGCUAAUACCGGAUGCUUGAUUGAACCGCAUGGUUCAAUCAUAAAAGGUGGCUUUUAGCUACCACUUACAGAUGGACCCGCGGCGCAUUAGCUAGUUGGUGAGGUAACGGCUCACCAAGGCGACGAUGCGUAGCCGACCUGAGAGGGUGAUCGGCCACACUGGGACUGAGACACGGCCCAGACUCCUACGGGAGGCAGCAGUAGGGAAUCUUCCGCAAUGGACGAAAGUCUGACGGAGCAACGCCGCGUGAGUGAUGAAGGUUUUCGGAUCGUAAAACUCUGUUGUUAGGGAAGAACAAGUACCGUUCGAAUAGGGCGGUACCUUGACGGUACCUAACCAGAAAGCCACGGCUAACUACGUGCCAGCAGCCGGGGGUUAAUAC